AGCGAAUAGAUACCCGGGUAGUCCCAGCCGUAAACGAUGCUCGCUAGGUGUCAGGCAUGGCGCGACCGUGUCUGGUGCCGCAGGGAAGCCGUGAAGCGAGCCACCUGGGAAGUACGGCCGCAAGGCUGAAACUUAAAGGAAUUGGCGGGGGAGCACAACAACGGGUGGAGCCUGCGGUUUAAUUGGACUCAACGCCGGACAACUCACCGGGGGCGACAGCAAUAUGUAGGCCAAGCUGAAGACUUUGCCUGAAUCGCUGAGAGGAGGUGCAUGGCCGUCGCCAGUUCGUACUGUGAAGCAUCCUGUUAAGUCAGGCAACGAGCGAGACCCGUGCCCACUGUUACCAGCAUGUCCUUUGGGAUGAUGGGUACUCUGUGGGGACCGCCGGUGUCAAAUCGGAGGAAGGUGCGGGCCACGGUAGGUCAGUAUGCCCCGGAAUCUCCCGGGCUACACGCGGGCUACAAUGAAUGGGACAAUGGGU
rnacentral:rRNA from 1 species